UACGUAGGGUGCGAGCGUUAAUCGGAAUUACUGGGCGUAAAGGGUGCGCAGGUGGCCGCGCAAGUCGAGUGUGAAAUCCCCGAGCUUAACUUGGGAAUUGCGCUCGAAACUACGUGGCUCGAGUGUGGCAGAGCAAGGUGGAAUUCCACGUGUAGCGGUGAAAUGCGUAGAGAUGUGGAGGAACACCGAUGGCGAAGGCAGCCUUCUGGGCCAACACUGACGCUCAUGCACGAAAGCGUGGGGAGCAAACAGG
rnacentral:rRNA from 1 species